ACUUAGUUGUUUUAUGUUUCCUGUUUUAAAUUUUAGAAAUAAAUGGAUUUAACUAAAACAAUAGCCUUUAAUUAUUGUAGCAGUUUUAAGUUUACAAAAAACAAACAAACAAAAAACAAACAAAAAAAAAACCUGGGGAGAAAGUAGAGUUCCUGUAUGCCCAUUCACCCUUCUCCUCCCCACUUUUCCCCAUUAUUAACUAUGGUGGUACAUUUGUUACAACUAAUGAACCAAUAUUGAUGCAUUAUUAUAACUAUAGUACAUUAGGGUUCACUGGGUGUACAUUUAAUGGAUUUUGACAAAUGCAUGAUGUUAUGUGCCCACCAUCAUAAUAUCAUACAAAUUACUUUCACUGCCAUAGAAAUCCUCUGUACUCUACCUGUUUAUCCCUCCCCAUUUCCAAACCCUGGCAUCUUUUUUACGGUAUCUAUAGUUUUGCCAUUUCCAGAAUGUCAUAUAGUUGGAAUCAUACGGGAUAUAGCUGUUUAGACUGGUUUAUUUCAUUUAGCAGUAUGCACUUAAGGUUUUUCAUCUGCAUUUCUUUGGUGAGAUGUCUGUUCAGAUCUUUUGCUCACAUUUUAAUCAAGUUGUUUUUCUUCUUGAGUUUUAAUAGUUUUUGGUGUAUUUUGGAUGACGGUCGAAUAUCAGAAAUGUGUUUAGCAAAUAUUUUCUU
rnacentral:lncRNA from 1 species